rnacentral:rRNA from 1 species
GAUGAACGCUGGCGGCGUGCCUAAUACAUGCAAGUCGAGCGAACGGACGAGAAGCUUGCUUCUCUGAUGUUAGCGGCGGACGGGUGAGUGACACGUGGAUAACCUACCUAUAAGACUGGGAUAACUUCGGGAAACCGGAGCUAAUACCGGAUAAUAUUUUGAACCGCAUGGUUCAAAAGUAAAAGACGGUCUUGCUGUCACUUAUAGAUGGAUCCGCGCUGCAUUAGCUAGUUGGUAAGGUAACGGCUUACCAAGGCAACGAUGCAUAGCCGACCUGAGAGGGUGAUCGGCCACACUGGAACUGAGACACGGUCCAGACUCCUACGGGAGGCAGCAGUAGGGAAUCUUCCGCAAUGGGCGAAAGCCUGACGGAGCAACGCCGCGUGAGUGAUGAAGGUCUUCGGAUCGUAAAACUCUGUUAUUAGGGAAGAACAUAUGUGUAAGUAACUGUGCACAUCUUGACGGUACCUAAUCAGAAAGCCACGGCUAACUACGUG